rnacentral:rRNA from 1 species
AAUGAACGUUGGCGGCGUGGAUUAGGCAUGCGAGUCGAGCGAGAACCGUAGCAAUACGGGGACAGCGGCGAAAGGGACAGUAACGGGUAGAUUAUCUGCCCUCAGGUUUGGGAUAGCUGCGGGAAACUGCAAGUAAUACCAAAUAAUAUCUCCGGAUCAAAGGUGUGAUUCCGCCUGAGGAUGAGUCUGCCUCCUAUUAGCUUGUUGGUGGGUAACGGCCUACCAAGGCAUUGAUGGGUAGCGGGUGUGAGAGCACGACCCGCGUCAUUGGGACUGAGACACUGCCCAGACACCUACGGGAGGCUG